AUUCACGUAGUUUAUUUGAAAACACUUCAUUUUCAAUGAAGAAAAGAAUUUUAUUCCAUGAAUA
rnacentral:tRNA from 1 species